rnacentral:rRNA from 1 species
UACGUAGGGUGCAAGCGUUAAUCGGAAUUACUGGCGUAAAGCGUGCGCAGGCGGCUUUGCAAGACAGAUGUGAAAUCCCCGGGCUUAACCUGGGAACUGCAUUUGUGACUGCAUGGCUGGAGUGCGGCAGAGGGGGAUGGAAUUCCGGCGUGUAGCAGUGAAAUGCGUAGAUAUGCGGAGGAACACCGAUGGCGAAGGCAGCCCCCUGGGCCUGCACUGACGCUCAUGCACGAAAGCGUGGGGAGCAAACAGGAUAGAA